AUGAUUCUGGUUAUCGCAGCAGAAUUCAAUUUCUCGCGAUGCCCUCUUUUCUUCCCACAGAGCAGCCAACUGAGAAAGCUCAGGCAAGGAGCAGGAAGGACGGAUUUGGGUUACCCUCCUGUAAUCACAGCUGCUCUGUUUGCUCCAGUCACUAAACACGUGCUGACCAGAAAGGGCGACCUUGACAGUUGCUAGGUGGAGGCCUCGAUGCUGAUUGAAGGUAAGUGCACCUCCAUUCAGAAUAAGGGAAACUUCAGCUGAUUUGAAAACACUUAUGAACUCACAUUGAUUUAUUCUUUUUAGGUAAAGCAGGAGAAAUUUUAAUUGAUUCUUGACUCUUUCUUGAAACUUCCAAAGCUUACCAGACUUCUGCCCUAAUGUAUAGCUUUGGAUUUUGUUGUUUGUCAGAACUAUAUGUUUAAGGAGCUAUCAUCUGGAAAGCCAUCUUUCAAGAUAGGUUAUUGUCAUCUUUCUAGUCCAAAAUGCUAAUGAAUGGGGCAGUUGUGUGUUCUGAUGAAUAGUUAUUUAAAAAGCACUGUACAAAUAAUGCAAAAACAUGACAAAUUCACCAAUUUUGACAGCUUAGAACUCUGGAUGUUCAGCAGUUAUAAUAAACUUCUGGUUUUGUGGGUUUCA
rnacentral:lncRNA from 1 species